GUGACUGUGUCUUCAUGAAGUAAAUCCUAAAGAUCUAGACUGCUGGCACUCUGGCCUCCUCGGAAGAAGGAGAGAGACAGAGGAUUCAUUUCAGAGUUUAGUCCCUGACGGAAGCAGGAGACACAACCAGCAGACUCUGCCAUAGUCUUCGCAUAUAUAUCCCAUGUGUCGCCUCUAUCCUCAGUCCUUGGAAAGCUCCAUGACUGCAAAAUCCUGCUGGCAAGAUGCACUGCCCCUCUCAGGAGGUAUGGAGGUUCUCAGAAUUCUCACUGCAUUGAUGGGGGGAUAUGAAAUGUUUUUCUGCUUCUCUGAGCCUGUGGUU
rnacentral:lncRNA from 10 species